ACGUACAAGCAGUAGGAGCCCUUCGAGGGUGACUGCGUACCUUUUGUAUAAUGGGUCAGCGACUUAUAUUUUGUAGCGAGGUUAACCGAUUAGGGUAGCCGUAGGGAAACCGAGUCUUAACUGGGCGUAUAGUUGCAAGGUAUAGACCCGAAACCCGGUGAUCUAGCCAUGGGCAGGUUGAAGGUUGAGUAACAUCAACUGGAGGACCGAACCCACUAACGUUGAAAAGUUAGGGGAUGACCUGUGGCUAGGAGU
rnacentral:rRNA from 1 species